rnacentral:rRNA from 2 species
CUUCCGUAGCAUGGCAUGCUUACACUGAUUUCAACAAUGAAGCGAGUGGCGAACUGGUGAGUAACACGUGGGAAAUCUGCCCAGAAGCAGGGGAUAACACUUGGAAACAGGUGCUAAUACCGUAUAACAACAAAAUCCGCAUGGAUUUUGUUUGAAAGGUGGCUUCGGCUAUCACUUCUGGAUGAUCCCGCGGCGUAUUAGUUAGUUGGUGAGGUAAAGGCCCACCAAGACGAUGAUACGUAGCCGACCUGAGAGGGUAAUCGGCCACAUUGGGACUGAGACACGGCCCAAACUCCUACGGGAGGCAGCAGUAGGGAAUCUUCCACAAUGGACGAAAGUCUGAUGGAGCAAUGCCGCGUGAGUGAAGAAGGGUUUCGGCUCGUAAAACUCUGUUGUUAAAGAAGAACACCUUUGAGAGUAACUGUUCAAGGGUUGACGGUAUUUAACCAGAAAGCCACGGCUAACUACGUGCCAGCAGCCGCGGUAAUACGUAGGUGGCAAGCGUUGUCCGGAUUUAUUGGGCGUAAAGCGAGCGCAGGCGGUUUUU